rnacentral:tRNA from 1 species
GCUGACGUAGCUCAACUGGCAGAGCACCUGUUUUGUAAACAGGCGGUUAGGGGUUCGAUUCCCCUCGUCAGCU